CGCGGCCUAUCAGCUUGUUGGAGAGGUAACGGCUCACCAAGGCAUCGACGGGUAGCUGGUCUGAGAGGAUGAUCAGCCACACUGGAACUGAGACACGGUCCAGACUCCUACGGGAGGCAGCAGUGGGGAAUCUUGCACAAUGGGCGAAAGCCUGAUGCAGCGAUGCCGCAUGCGGGAAGAAGGCCUUAGGGUUGUAAACCGCUUUCAGGAGGGAAGAAUAUGACGGUACCUCCAGAAGAAGGUGCGGCCAACUACGUGCCAGCAGCCGCGGUGACACGUAGGCACCAAGCGUUAUCCGGAUUUAUUGGGCGUAAAGAGCUCAUAGGCGGUUUGGUAAGUCGGGUGUGAAAACUCUGGGCUCAACCCAGAGAGGCCACUCGAUACUGCUAUGACUAGAGUACGGUAGGGGAGCGGGGAAUUCCUGGUGUAGCGGUGAAAUGCGCAGAUAUCAGGAGGAACACCAGCGGCGAAGGCGCCGCUCUGGGCCGUAACUGACGCUGAGGAGCGAAAGCAUGGGUAGCAAACAGGAUUAGAUACCCUGGUAGUCCAUGCCGUAAACGUUGGGCACUAGGUGUGGGUCUCAACCAACGAGAUCCGCGCCGUCGCUAACGCAUUAAGUGCCCCGCCUGGGGAGUACGG
rnacentral:rRNA from 1 species